CAGAAACAUGUCAAAGGGUCUAUAAAGACAUUACUGACCAUGAAAUGAGAAGAUGCAUAGGAGAUAGCUUCACCAAUCCCACACAAGAAUUGUUUGUGGUCACAGGCCGGUGCCAAAUUCAAGAUCAUAGAACAGAUACAGAUGGACAUCAUAUUAUAUUUUUGUUGUUCUGUCAACAUUAUUGUGCAUCUGCAUUAUACUUGUACCCUAGGCCUAUACUAUAAGUUAUUCUCUGGUUUAUUACAAUGUCAUAUUUAAAAUGUUUUAAUACCUGGAUAAUUUGAAGCCUAAUAAAAGUAUAAAUUAC